CUUCCCGAGGAGCGUUGCAACGCACGGGGCGAGUUGUUCGCCGCUGUCGCCAGGCUCGGGUCUUUGAUCGCAGGCCGCUACACCUUGCUGGCGGCUUUCCUUCAACGGCGCUCACCCAAC
rnacentral:ncRNA from 6 species